rnacentral:rRNA from 1 species
UACGGAGGGUGCAAGCGUUGUCCGGAUUUAUUGGGUUUAAAGGGUGCGUAGGCGGCUAAUUAAGUCAGUGGUGAAAGGCAGCAGCUCAACUGUUAGCACGGCCAUUGAUACUGAUUAGCUUGAGUACAGUCGAGGUAGGCGGAAUUGAAGGUGUAGCGGUGAAAUGCAUAGAUAUCAGGAAGAACACCCGUGGCGAAGGCGGCUCUCUGGGACGGUACUGACGCUGAGACGCGAAAGCGUGGGGAGCGAACAGG